CAUGUCCUUUUGAAGAUAAUUUAAGGUCUAAUCUGCUCAAUGAUAUUUAAAUUGCCGCAGUAUUUUGACUGUGCAAAGGUAGCAUAAUAAUUAGUUUCUUAAUUAGAAACUGGAAUGAAUGAUUGGACAAGAAAAUUUCUGUCUCUUUUUUAAAUUUUUUGAAUUUUAUUUUUAAGUGAAAAAGCUUAAAUGUUUAUAAAAGACGAUAAGACCCUAUAGAGUUUGAUAGUUAAUAAUAAUUUAAUUUUAGAAACUAAUUUUAUUAUUAUUUAUUUGGUUGGGGUGAUUUAAAGAUUGAAAAAAUUCUUUAACAUUUUAAUUGGUGAUUUCUAAAUUGUAAAUCUAUUUUUUAUAAAAAUAAAAUAAAUUACCUUAGGGAUAACAGCGUAAUUUUUCUUUAAAGUUCUUAUUGAAAGAAAAGUUUGCGACCUCGAUGUUGGAUUAAAAUUAAUUUUUGGUGCAGUAACUUAAAAAUUAGGUCUGUUCGACCUUUAAAAUU
rnacentral:rRNA from 1 species